rnacentral:lncRNA from 1 species
AUGGUGGCUGCGUGCUCAGCCUCGUGGGUGACGGGGGUUGUGUUUGGGAGUGUCCCGGUCACCUACGCCUGGAUCAGGUACGACAGUGCCGAGAUGCUGUGCGCUGUCUUCUGGGAGAGCAGCUACUCGGACAUGUUGGUCUACAUCCUCUGUGCUUUCUCCGUCUGUAUCUUCCUCCCCUUCCUCCUCAUCAUCGCCUGCUCCCUGCUGAGCGCUGCAGGCUGUGGCUCAAGCUGCAACAGUGAUGAUGAAGCAGACCUGUCUGCAGUCACUCCUCUGCUGGUGGCCUCCUACAUGUUCUGCUACACUCCCUUUGCUGUGUCCGAGCUGAUCCUGCUGGGUAGGCUGGACCUGUCGCCGGCACCCGAUUGGCUAAGGACAUUGUCAUCAGUGAUGUCCUACCUGGACUGUGGCCUGAAUCCUCUCAUCUACUGCUCCCACCAGGACUUCAGGGAGGCCGGCCUGGCCCUGUUGUGGACCAGUAGGAAACCACAGUCUGAGCCUGUCCUCACCGCUAUUGUUAAACGCGAGCUGUGA